rnacentral:rRNA from 1 species
CGUAGGGUGCGAGCGUUGUCCGGAAUUAUUGGGCGUAAAGAGCUUGUAGGCGGUCUGUCACGUCUGCUGUGAAAACUCAGGGCUUAACCCUGAGCCUGCAGUGGGUACGGGCAAACUAGAGUGUGGUAGGGGAGACUGGAAUUCCUGGUGUAGCGGUGGAAUGCGCAGAUAUCAGGAGGAACACCGAUGGCGAAGGCAGGUCUCUGGGCCAUAACUGACGCUGAGAAGCGAAAGCGUGGGGAGCGAACAGGAUU